rnacentral:misc_RNA from 1 species
GAUGAAGAACGUAGCGAAAUGCGAUACGUAAUGUGAAUUGCAGAAUUCAGUGAAUCAUCGAGUCUUUGAACGCACAUUGCGCCCCCUCGUAUUCCGGGGGGCAUGCCUGUCCGAGCGUCAUUGCUGCCCUCAAGCACGGCUUGUGUGUUGGGCCUCCGUCCUCCUCCCGGGGGACGGGCCCGAAAGGCAGCGGCGGCACCGCGUCCGGUCCUCGAGCGUAUGGGGCUUCGUCACCCGCUCUUGUAGGCCCGGCCGGCGCUUGCCGACACAUCAAUCUUUUUUCCAGGUUGACCUCGGAUCAGGUAGGGAUAUCCGCUGAACUUAAGCAUAUCAAUAAGCGGAGGA